GAAAGUAAGGAUAUUCUUCUGUGAAAAAAGUAAUGCCUCAAAUGCUUCCACAGGAUUAAUUUCAAGAUCUGAUUGUUAUGGAAGAUACCACAAGGAGAGAAAAAGAAGGAAUUUUGAGUGAUAAGGUAUAAAAGCAGACUGAAAUCAAGAACAGGGAAAUGAAUGAGUUAACAGUGCUAUUUCCAGUAUGACAAGUAGGAAAACAGAACAAAUUAUAUUUCAGCUACCUGGGAAAUAACAUAAGUGUGAUGGAAGCAAUGGAAGAGAGUGAGGAAUUAAACCACUUGUACAGAAGCAGUCAAUAGCAGUACCUGAUGGUGAUGGGAGCACAGAGCAAAAAAAGGAGGAUUUUCUACAGCUCAGAA